GCGAUAGCCAAAUGUUAAGGCUUUGGUCUUGUAAACCAAAGUCCAUGGGUUCAUGGUCGUUCAUGGUUCAUUCAUCCCUAUCAAUGUCUUAUUGAACAUGAAAUGCCAUGUGGUCUACA